GCUGGGAUAGCUUAGCUGGUAGAGAGCAUAAGACUCUUAAUGUCAGGGUUGUGAGUUCUAGCCCCACCUUGAGUG